UACGUAGGCAGCAAGCGUUGUCCGGAAUCAUUGGGCGUAAAGAGCGUGUAGGCGGCCUGGUAAGUCCGCUGUGAAAGUCCAGGGCUCAACCCUGGAAUGCCGGUGGAAACUGUCAGGCUCGAGUCCGGAAGAGGAGUGUGGAAUUCCCGGUGUAGUGGUGAAAUGCGUAGAUAUCGGGAGGAACACCAGUGGCGAAGGCGACUACCUGGCCUGUUCUUGACGCUGAGGCGCGAAAGCUAGGGGAGCAAACGGG
rnacentral:rRNA from 1 species